GAGAUUAGCUCAGCGCUGGCCAGCUGCACACAGCAUGUAUAAAUAGCCACGAUGGAUCUCUGUGGAGAAUGUGUGUCCACCCAUUGUUCCAUUCUGAGGCACGUAUGGAGAUAAAACACUAUAGAUAGUCAUGUGACUGAGGGACGCUUUAUAAGCCGAUUGAGUUAGAACACAGGCGUCUAGAUACUUCUGAAGGAUACCCUAAACUACAGGACAAAACACAGGUCUUAAUCCAAAUAUGUCAGACACAGAAGAAGUUGAAUAUGAGGAGCAGGAGGGUAAGUUACAGUGGCUUUACUUUUACAUAUAAAAGAGAAAAAGAGAAAUCAUGUUUAUAAAUCCCUCAAUUCAACAGAACAGAGCCAGAAACCUCAGUCUAUUGAUACGAGAUGACAGGUAUUAAUGCACCGUGACCAAACAUGAGCCAUGUUUUCAUUUCUUCUCAGAUAUAAAAUAAAUACAAAACUAUUGUCUUUUAAUGCUCUGCUUAUCUGUUUGCUUAGAGACAUGGCUAUUUUCAACUGUGUGUUUUGAAUAGAGAUGAUUUGAUAUAAAUUGGGCCGUUCCACUGAAUGAGUGCCAUUUGCUUGUUGUAACUCUUCCAAAUUAAACUAGUUUUAUUUUUUUUUUUAUCUUUCUUCAACUCUGAAGCUAAUAAAACAUGUAUAUUUAACUAUUUAAAACAUGUUUAACAACAUUUAGGCAGCUUCACGUAAUGUUUAACAAGAAAAAAAUGGUUCAAUUAUUCUCAGUCCUGUUACCAAAACUCAUGAAACAUUAAAAAAAAAGCAUGUUUAAAAGCAAAUUAAUUAAUUCCUUUGAUUUUCUCUCAAGAAAGUCUUUAUUUUAAAGAAAUGGUUGACUGCUUGUUCAAAUAAUUAAUAUGUAGGACAAAAAAAAUCACUCCUGUUACUGGAACUCACUCCUGUUAUUUUUUAUUUUUUAAGUAACAUGAAUGAGUUUUUAGCAUAAAAUUAGCAAAAACAUGAAAAAUAGCUAACUGGCGACUACGCUAAUAGCACGAAGACACUGAUCACUUUUUAGUGAUUUUUCCCAAAAUUUGUAUUUAAAAAAAGAAAUAAAUAAGAUCUAAGAAAUUUUAUUUAGGUAACAGGACUGAGUGUAGAAAUUGAACUCCCUAGUCAUCGAUACAAUAAGAUCAAAUAUACAGAAAAAAAUAGUUUUUUUUAGGUUUGGUCUUCCCAUGAUCUUCAGAAGGACCAGCUGAUGAUGUCACUUCCUGUUGUAGAUGUGACUUCCUGUUGUAGAAUGUUUCAGAUGUUUUAAAUGAUCAGGGUAAAGUGUUACGGUAACAGGACUUAGUGAAAAAACAACAUGGACAAUUUUCCAAACUAAAUUGUACUAUUUUAACUUAAAUACUAUGGAUUUAUUAUUAAAAAAAAAAAAAAAAAAAAAAAAAAUAUAUAUAUAUAUAUAUAUAUAUAUAUAUAUAUAUAUAUAUAUAUAUAUAUAUAUAUAUAUAUAUAUAUAUUUGGAGUCACAGAACAAUGCAAAAAAUAUAUAUAAUUAUAUUUCAUGGUAAAGUUUAUAGUUAGAGAGUGGGGACAAGCAACAAAUGCAUAUUUUUUCUCAGUGUUCUUCUUAGUUUUUUAUUGUUUUUAAUAACAUAUUUUAAUUAAUUUGUUUUGUCAAUGUAUAAGACACUAUUCUUAAUAAUAAAAUGAAUUUUAAAGUUAUUUUAUGUGCACAUUUAUUUAGACAGACAGAAAUGAUUCAACAGAAUAUGCCUUUAUAUAUAUAUUUAUGUAUUAAACCACUUCCAUAUUUUAAAAUAAAAGCUCAUAAACAUAAAUAGUUUCUGCUCCUUAGUCUUGCCACAACAGAGCCCUCCUAACAGCAGCAGUGAUGAUCCGGCCGCACCCAUGGCACAUGUGGGCUUCACUCACUCUAAAGUCUGUUAAGUCUCUGGUAAAGACUCACAGUUCUUUAUGGGAUGGGUGUGGUAAUGUUUUGGCAACACCUGUUCAGUCUCUGUCAGAAUUACGCUGGAGGUUUUGGCACAGGAACAAACAUGCAAAGGUGCAGCACAUGGCAAUAAAAUGUGCAGUGGGAGUGUUCACCUGGCUCUUUGUUAGUAAAUCAGACAUACAGUAUUCCUUAAGAUCAGUUUAAACCUGAUAAAUAAUCAUAUAUUAUAAGAAUUUUGAUUUAAUACAACAGAGAUAGAUAGAUAGAUAGAUAGAUAGACAGACAGACAGACAGACAGACAGACAGACAGACAGACAGACAGACAAACAGACAGACAGACAGACAGAUAGGCUACCUAAUAUUGCCCUGGAUUACUGGAACACUCAGGGUUCCCCAGGGUAGCGCUGUCGGGCAGCAUUUACUAGCACUAACAGUGGCUAGCAGUUAGCCAGUUAGCUGCAAAUGCUAAUGCUGCUGCACCCAGCCUUAGUGGAAAUCUGGAAAUCUAAGCUUACUGUAAAUAAGGAGAGAAAUUUGUGUGGUUUAUUGCACCUUAUAAUCCAAUGCACCUUCAAAACAAGCUGAACUACUUGAAUUUUUGCACCAGGAGUGAGUAGCAUAAAGUUUUCCAAAAGCAGUUUGUAAGACUGGUGGAGGAGAACAUGCAGAGAUGCAUAAAGUUUUGAUUAAGAAACAGGAAUAUUCCACCAAAUAUUGAUUUCAGAACUCUUUCUUGCCUUAUUUAAGGUCUGAAAGCUCUGCAUCUGUUUUUCUUUUGUUAUUUCAGCCAUUUUUCAUUUUUUCUGCAAAUAAAUGCUUUAAAUGACAAUAUUUUAUUUGGAAUUUGUGAGAAAUGUUGUUUGUAGUUUAUAGAAUAAAACAACAAUGUUCAUUUUACUCAAACAUACCUAUAACUAUCAUAUAUAAACCUAUAAAUAGCAAAAUCAGAGAAAGUGAUUCAGAAACUGUGAUCUGGUUGGUAUGUAUGCUUGGUUCAGGGUUGUAGUAAUAAAGUGAGUGGAACUGUAGUGGUUCUGCCCUGAUUAGUGGUGAGAAAAGCUGCAUUGUUUGAGGCUGAGCUAUCAGUGAAGCAGUGAGGUCUGACAGAAAGGUGCCGUUGUUCGCCUCACAAAGCUAAUCUCAGUCCGUCUCCUGCUUUCAGCUCCCUGUAGAACAGCUCAGGUUUCUAACUUUGAGGAACUCUGUGGGUUGGAGCUCUGAGAGCUUCGUUCUCAUACUGGUGUUAUUGUAUCCUGUUCUGAGUGCUGCUGAGCUGCAGUGCACUCUGUAAGAGAGGGGGAAAUGCUGUACAGAGGACUGAGCCA